GACCGCUUAGCUCAGUUGGCAGAGCAUUGGGCUGGUAUUCCAAAGGUCGUAGGUUCGAAUCCCACCGUGGCCA